rnacentral:sRNA from 1 species
GUGCUGGUGCUGCUGAACCCGCGCGGCGGCAAGGGCAAGGCCUUGCAGCUCUUCCGGAGUCACGUGCAGCCCCUUUUGGCUGAGGCUGAAAUCUCCUUCACGCUGAUGCUCACUGAGCGGCGGAACCACGCGCGGGAGCUGGUGCGGUCGGAGGAGCUGGGCCGCUGGGACGCUCUGGUGGUCAUGUCUGGAGACGGGCUGAUGCACGAGGUGAGGACCGCACUGCGCGGCUAGGCCUGGGGCUUGGCGCGGUGCGUCCCAGGCUGAGGCCACGUGUGCUUCAACAGGUGGUGAACGGGCUCAUGGAGCGGCCUGACUGGGAGACCGCCAUCCAGAAGCCCCUGUGUAGCCUCCCAGCAGGCUCUGGCAACGCGCUGGCAGCUUCCUUGAACCAUUAUGCUGGGUGAGAGCCCAGGGCCAGAGUGGGCCUGUUUCCCGUCUGUGCUCCUCUACCGC